UACGGGGGGAGCAAGCGUUGUUCGGAUUUACUGGGCGUAAAGGGCGCGUAGGCGGCCAGUGCAAGUCAGUUGUGAAAUCUCCGAGCUUAACUCGGAAAGGUCAACUGAUACUGCUCGGCUAGAGUGCGGAAGGGGCAACUGGGAAUUCUUGGUGUAGCGGUGAAAUGACGUAGAUAUCAAGAGGAACACCUGCGGCGAAGGCGGGUUGCUGGGCCGACACUGACGCUGAUGCGCGAAAGCUAGGGGAGCGAACGGG
rnacentral:rRNA from 1 species